ACUGCUCAGUAACACGUGGACAACCUGCCCUUAGGUUGGGUAUAAACCCGGGAAACUGGGUAUAAUACCCGAUAGGUCUCGAUUGCUGGAAUGCAUCGAGAUUUAAAGCUCCGGCGCCUAAGGAUGGGUCUGCGGCCUAUCAGGUAGUAGUGGGUGUAGCGUACCUACUAGCCUACGACGGGUACGGGUUGUGAGAGCAAGAGCCCGGAGAUGGAUUCUGAGACACGAAUCCAGGCCCUACGGGGUGCAGCAGGCGCGAAAACUUUACAAUGCUGGCAACAGCGAUAAGGGAACCUCGAGUGCCAGGUUACAAAUCUGGCUGUCGAGAUGCCUAAAAAGCAUUUCAUAGCAAGGGCCGGGCAAGACCGGUGCCAGCCGCCGCGGUAACACCGGCGGCUCGAGUGGUAACCGUUAUUAUUGGGUCUAAAGGGUCUGUAGCCGGCCGGAUAAGUCUCUUGAGAAAUCUGGCAGCUUAACUGUCAGGCUUUCAGGAGAUACUGUCUGGCUCGAGGCCGGGAGAGGUGAGAGGUACUUCAGGGGUAGGGGUGAAAUCUUGUAAUCCUUGAAGGACCACCAGUGGCGAAGGCGUCUCACCAGAACGGACCUGACGGCAAGGGACGAAAGCUAGGGGCACGAACCGGAUUAGAUACCCGGGUAGUCCUAGCCGUAAACGAUACUCGCUAGGUGUCGGCCACGGUGCCACCGUUGUCGGUGCCGUAGGGAAGCCGUGAAGCGAGCCACCUGGGAAGUACGGCCGCAAGGCUGAAACUUAAAGGAAUUGGCGGGGGAGCAC
rnacentral:rRNA from 1 species